rnacentral:rRNA from 1 species
CAGCCGUAAACGAUGUGCGUUAGGUGUAUCGACGACCACGAGUCGUCGAGGUGCCGAAGGGAAACCGUGAAACGUACCGCCUGGGAAGUACGGUCGCAAGGCUGAAACUUAAAGGAAUUGGCGGGGGAGCACCACAACAGGUGGAGCCUGCGGUUUAAUUGGACUCAACGCCGGAAAUCUCACCGGAUAAGACAGCGGAAUGAUUGCCGGGCUGAAGACUCUGCAUGACUAGCUGAGAGGAGGUGCAUGGCGUCAGUG